CCAAUAGCGUAUAUUAAAGUUGUUGCAGUUAAAAAGCUCGUAGUUGAAUUUCGGGAUCAGUUGAUCGGUCGUGCCUCGGUACGUACUGGUCAAAUUGAUUCCUACCUUCUGACGAACCACGAUGUCAUUAAUUUGGUGUCGUGGGAAAUCAGGACUGUUACUUUGAAAAAAUUAGAGUGUUUAAAGCAGGCUCGCGCUUGAAUACAUUAGCAUGGAAUAAUGAAAUAGGACGUUUGAUUCUAUUUUGUUGGUUUCUAGGAUCGAUGUAAUGAUUAAUAGGGAUAGUUGGGGGCAUUAGUAUUCAAUUGUCAGAGGUGAAAUUCUUGGAUUUAUUGAAGACUAACUACUGCGAAAGCAUUUGCCAAGGAUGUUUUCAUUAAUCAAGAACGAAAGUUAGGGGAUCGAAGACGAUCAGAUACCGUCGUAGUCUUAACCAUAAACUAUGCCGACUAGGGAUCGGAUGAUGUUAAUUUUUUAAUGACUCAUUCGGCGCCUUACG
rnacentral:rRNA from 1 species